rnacentral:rRNA from 1 species
AGGAUUAACGCUGGCGGCGUGCCUGACACAUGCAAGUCGAACGAGGCCGCAAGGCCGAGUGGCGGACGGGUGAGUAACACGUGACCAACCAACCUCGAAGUUGGGAAUAGCUCUGCGAAAGUAGGGGUAAUACCGAAUGUGGCCCAGGGCGGGCAUCCGCCUUGGUCUAAAGAUUCAUCGCUUCGAGACGGGGUCGCGGCCUAUUAGCUUGUUGGUGAGGUAACGGCUCACCAAGGCGAUGAUGGGUAGCUGGUCUGAGAGGACGACCAGCCACACUGGGACUGAGACACGGCCCAGACUCCUACGGGAGGCAGCAGUGAGGAAUCUUCCGCAAUGGGCGAAAGCCUGACGGAGCAACGCCGCGUGUGGGAUGAAGACUCUAGGGUUGUAAACCACUGCCGGAGGGACGAUCGUGACGGUACCCUCCAAGAAACGCCCCGGCUAACUACGCGCCAGCAGCCGC